UUUACAAACCACUUUUUGUCUGCGCUUGCAGACCUGUAGCAUGUCAUUUUGACGCUCAUAUAAGGAAUUUACUAUGAUUGCAGACAGUGAAGCAACAGAUCUGGUCAUGAAAUCGUUUAUUUACAAGUGAGCAAAAAUAUUUACAACACACAAUAAGGUUUCAGUGUUUUCCGUUUCUUCUCACUGCUCUGCUGACUGAAACUUUUAAGCAAAAAGUGAAUCCUUGUGAGGCAAUAAAAACGUAUAACUGAGGCUGUCAGGGUAGCAGAAUGGUCUAGGCAACCAAUCUUUGACAUUUAACCAAUUGACUGCAAAAUCUCGGCCACAGCUUUGGCAUGCUGGCGUGUUACACUGAAUUAAAAAUUAAGGGGUUCUACGUGCCAAAACCACUUUCUGAUUAUGAGGCACGCCGUAGUGGAGGGCUCCGGAAAUUUUGACCACCUGGGGUUCUUUAACGUGCGCCUAGAUAUAAGUACACGGGUUUUUUCACAUUUCGCCCCCAUCGAAAUGCGGCCGCCGUGGCCGGGAUUCGAUCCCACGACCUCGUGCUCAGCAGCCCAACACCAUAGCCACUGAGCAACCACGGUGAGUGUUACACUGAAUAAACGAGUGAGUUUGUUUUCAAGGGCAUUGUCCAGCUUAUAGAACGAUUCUGAGGGAUAUAAAAGGCCCUCAAGGUCCCACUCUUUGGAUGCCUCUGGUGGAAGCUCUCUGGGGAUAUUGCCUUUAUGGUGCUUCGUAGUCUUCACAAUGUGUGGGCAAAACACGCCUUCUCGCCACAUAACCUGCAAUGUAAUAAACUAGCCGUGCGUCGCUGCGGUGCUCAACAUAACUUUGGUGGUCCACAGCAUCUCGCCGUCGAAUGACGGAAUGUCGGGAGGAACACUCGAAAACAGGCGACGAGACCGACUGACAGCGGAGGGCGCAGUCCAGCGCGGGAGUACCACGCAUAAUACCACGCCGCGAGCAGCAGCGCCACGUUCCCCCUGGUGGCAUCGGUGCGCAAGGGGGUCACGCGCGCCUGAAGGAAAGCGCCGCCGGUAUUCACACCUCCCCUUCUAGCCACCCUACCAUGGCGCUUGCAAAGUUUUCAAUAGUUUUCGACUAUUAAGUGAUGCUUUUGCUGUUUUAACGUGUGGAGGUUCAUUGUACGUCUGUUUUUUCAAGUUUGGCAUGUGUUUUAACACAUGUGAAGGUGUAGUCUUUUCUUCUUCAGCGGAUAUUUGUACAAGACCCCGUUCACCGUCUAUCAGGUAAGAUGUGUACGUAUGCUACACGCAAUCGUAGUGCUUCACUAAGCCACAGUGCACUACAAAGUUAAGCAUGAGCGGUACACAAAAUUCACAAGUUCUUAGUAUUGCCAAGAACAACCAUUGCUUGGUGAAGUUCUCACAGGCGUUGUAGAAGUUGUUGGGCGCGGCAGUGCUGAACGUAGCGUUAGCGGCUUAAAUCGUGUUUUUUACUAGUAACAACGUGUCACUAUUUCAUAUUAUUGGCGGCGUCUGCAGGACACCAAAUCGGUAACGGGGACACCAGAGCUAGAACGCGGACUGGUCCAUGGGUUGGGGCUCGCCGAGGCCUGCGCGUGCUAGUAGUAUAUCUUGAUGUCUGUAGGCUGUGUGUAAGUCGUACUUUCCGAAUUUUCUGACGCAUUUUAAGAUCAGCUGUCCGCUUUCGCGGACAAGGCUGGAGUCGGGGUGGUCCGUGAGUUGGGGCAACAUAACCUGCUUCCAGUUUUGAUCCCUCCGCUGCCCCUUGGGUACCCUGCCGCCUCCUUGAUUAUAAUCUAAUGCUCUCCUGAGGCCUCUGUUUGCCGGUUACAUGUGCCCUCCUGGAGCACUACUUGUAAAUGAAUCCGAUCUAUCGUCGCAACGAAAAAAGCGUCCCGCGACUUCUGCAACACCAGUCAGAACCUUGCCCAUUGGUUUACAUAUGUGUGGCCGCAAAUAUCUGAAACUUAAUGCCAGUUCAACAGGUUUGUUGGCAAGGGUGUCAGGUCGUUGCUUUGUGUUGAAUCGGCCUUUUCUCAAUUCUUAAGAAUUUAAUUGGAAUGCACCUGACCAGUGCUGCUUUGUGGUGCUUGCCACCAGUCCCUUGGACAGGGAAGACAUAUGAGAAUCCCUGUGCAUACACUUUAUACGCAGUGGUGUGACCGCUUCCUUUGGGAAACUACCACGUUAGCGAUAUUGUGAGCGCAAUGUGACUUUCCUUCAUCUUCCUCAUCCGUACGUAGUGUGUGUCGCUUCUUCCUCGCCAUAGCUCUAGCUCGGCAAGAAUAAAGCGGUUCCUUAGAAGUGGUGGAGGUGCUGGGGUUCUGCAUACCAAGGACGUAUAAGUGAAGGUGACUUAAACCGACAACAGCCGAGAAGGUGCAAACAGCACUGCGCUGCCUGGUUCUUGCUGUUGGCCUUUUCUUCUUUUCACAGUGUCCUUACUGUAAGUGCACUCCAGAGUUACAAUGCAGGAAUAUGCAUGUGUGCAUAAGCUUUCAUUCAAGAGUAACUCAUGAUCAUAAGUUACGUCAUCAUGGUUUCGUACCAUGUCACGGCAUCAUAAGUGAGACAUAAUAAAGAAGCCCUCAAAGUCUGCGGGAGAGACUAAUCUUUUGUGCGAGAUUGUGCUAUCCUUGCUGCACGCAGUGCAAUAUUAUGUGACUCUCAUGUCUAUGGUGGCAUUGUCGAUUAUGAAUGUUUCCUUACUGCGUUAAAAAAAUGUGUAGUGCAUCUUUCAGAUAAUAAUGGCAUUAUAGCUUCAGAGUUGUUCAAGUUUGGGGUACUUGUUCACUAAAAGUACAUUAUCAGAAAAGCUUUAGAAUGUCUAGGUCAUAAUUGCAUUUGAAGAACUAAGUCUUCCUACACAUAGCAAUUGGUAGCUUACUGUGUAAUGUUGAAGGUGGUUUUUAUUCAUAGGCCCUACGCAGAGAGCAGCAACACAAUGCCUGGCAUGUGACCAGGGUUCGUCACAGUGUUUGCAUUUCCAGUGCUCGUAACUGAUUCCAAGCAUAAAUUUGCUUUAUGAAUUCUUUGUAGACAGAAGGUGCUUGAAUAUUGGUUGCAUGAAAUGCUCCAAUGCACACUGUAUAUGUACAGGGUGUCUUUUUAUUACCAUACAGAUUUUCUUGUUUUAAAGUUAUGAGCGCAGCAAAUGUGGCAUUCUUGCAGAGGAAUUCCUCUAUUUUGGAACUCCACAAAUUUGGAGGCAGUCACAUUUUAUAGCACUCUCAUUUCUUACAAAUCUUGAAAGUUGCACCUAAUUCAAGAUAUUCAUCAUUGAAUUUCACUGGUAAAUCGAGGAAAUAUUGGAACAGAGUGUGCUGGGAGCGCAGAAAAGAAGGUCCCGCUACCUCAUCAGAUGGAAACACCCUCGACAACAGGCUCGAGAAAGUCUGAAACAACAUCUUGGCCAGUCAUUGUAGCAGCUGAUACGACAUACUUUGCCUUGCAAGCAUGUGCAUCAGUGUGCCGUGUCAGGCUAUCAUUUAAGCCUUGUCCCACACUUCUUGACAGGGCACUGCCGCCUGAUGUGGAGCAGGAUGCACCAAGUUUUGAUUGUACUCAAUUGAGCGCGAUAAUGAAUAUUUCAAAAUAAGUGCAAUUUUCGAGAUUUCGAAAAAGAAAGGGUGUGCGUUCACAUGUGACUGCCUCCAAAUAUGCCAUUUAGAAGGCUGCCGCCAAGUUACUAAUAAAGUGACUGAAUUCUUCAAAAUUAAUUUUCUGAAACUCGCAUUAGCAGCAAAGUGUGUCCUCCUCACCUAGAAACUCCUUUGCAAGAACGACAGGCUCUCUGUGCUCAAAACUUUUUGCUAAAUAUCUGCAUGGUUAAAAAAAAAAACUAGAUAUGCAUAAUUGUUAAUGUAUGAAAAUCGUACACUAUCGCUUUUCAAAAUUUUUGUCCUAUGCAACACCAGAAAAAUUGGAAAUAGAAGCUUCAGGUGACCUAUCUGAUGUGCAAGUUGCAUGGUCAUAUUAUUGUUUUAAUUUUUCGCUAUUACCUUUUACUGUGAUGUCGCCACUGCAGCAGCUCGAUGGCUGUGGCUUUUCAUUCCAGGUCACAAAGCUGCACCCAGGUAGAGGCAGAAUCCAAAAAUGCUUGUGUACUUCAAGUAUAGCUGCACAUUACAGAAUCCGAGGCCCUCAAGAUUUAUCCGUAGCCCUCGUGUAGCCCACGAGUUCCAUAUUUUUUAUUGGGAUUGAAGAGUAACGUUUGUGCUGUAUCCCUCUAUUUCAGACUAAAUAAUGUGCAUGCAAAAUUAUAUCUUCAUUACUUUACACCAUUGCACCAAUAUCUGUUCUGCGUUGAUUUUCUGAUGUCCUUGCAUUUGCUAUAGCAAGGAUUUUUAAAAAUCAGCCACAAAAGAAAAAAUAAAUGGUCAAGGAACGAAGUGGUGUGUAGCAGCUCCAUUUUUUUUAAUCGGCGGCAAGUUUUGCACUCGUGUGUUAGCAACACUGUUUCGCCAGUUGUGUACUUCAAAAGAAGUGUUACCUUUCUGCUUUGGAACUUUGCGAUUUUGUUCUGCCAGCUGCUUGACCAACACAAGCAAAAUGUACUUUGGAUAUUCCACAAAUUCAUUCUGUAUGCAUUUGGUACAAUAAAAUUUGUUUCAAGAAUGGACAAA